GCCCCGAUGACUGGGACAACCCGUCGAAAGACGGGCUAAUACCGGAUGUGCCCCUUGGGGGAAAGGAAGCUUCGGCCUCCGCAUCGGGAUGGGCCCGCGGCGCAUUAGCUUGUUGGUGGGGUAAUGGCUUACCAAGGCGACGAUGCGUAGCUGGUCUGAGAGGACGAUCAGCCACACUGGGACUGAGACACGGCCCAGACUCCUACGGGAGGCAGCAGUGGGGAAUCUUGCACAAUGCGCGAAAGCGUGAUGCAGCAACGCCGCGUGCGGGAAGAAGGCCUUAGGGUUGUAAACCGCUUUCAGUUGGGACGAAGCUUCGGUCGUGAAUAGCGGUUUGGAGUGACGGUACCUUCAGAAGAAGCGCCGGCUAACUACGUGCCAGCAGCCGCGGUAAUACGUAGGGCGCGAGCGUUGUCCGGAAUCAUUGGGCGUAAAGCGCGUGUAGGCGGCUGAGUAAGUCUGCUGUGAAAGUCCAGGGCUCAACCCUGGAAUGUCGGCGGAUACUGCUCAGCUGGAGUACGGGAGGGGCGAGUGGAAUUCCUGGUGUAGCGGUGGAAUGCGCAGAUAUCAGGAGGAACACCUAUGGCGAAGGCAGCUCGCUG
rnacentral:rRNA from 1 species